rnacentral:rRNA from 1 species
CGUAGGUGGCAAGCGUUGUCCGGAAUUAUUGGGCGUAAAGCGCGCGCAGGCGGUUCCUUAAGUCUGAUGUGAAAGCCCCCGGCCUCAACCGGGGAAGGGUCAUUGGAAACUAGGGGAACGUUGAGUGCAGAAGAGAAGAGCGGAAUUCCACGUGUAGCGGUGAAAUGCGUAGAGAUGUGGAGGAACACCAGUGGCGAAGGCGGCUCUUUGGUCUGUAACUGACGCUGAGGCGCGAAAGCGUGGGGAGCAAACAGGAUUAGAUACCCUGGUAGUCCACGCCGUAAACGAUGAGUGCUAAGUGUUAGAGGGUUUCCGCCCUUUAGUGCUGCAGCUAACGCAUUAAGCACUCCGCCUGGGGAGUACGGCCGCAAGGCUG